GAUGAACGCUGGCGGCGUGCCUAAUACAUGCAAGUCGAGCGAACAGACGAGGAGCUUGCUCCUCUGACGUUAGCGGCGGACGGGUGAGUAACACGUGGAUAACCUACCUAUAAGACUGGGAUAACUUCGGGAAACCGGAGCUAAUACCGGGUAAUAUAUUGAACCGCAUGGGUCAAUAGUGAAAGACGGUGUUGCUGUCACGUAUAGAUGGAUCCGCGCCGCAUUAGCUAGUUGGUAAGGUAACGGCUUACCAAGGCAAGGAUGCGUAGCCGACCUGAGAGGGUGAUCGGCCACAUUGGAACUGAGACACGGUCCAGACUCCUACGGUAGGCAGCAGUAGGGAAUCUUCCGCAAUGGGCGAAAGCCUGACGGAGCAACGCCGCGUGAGUGAUGACGGUCUUCGGAUCGUAAAACUCUGUUAUUAGGGAAGAACAAAUGUGUAAGUAACUAUGCACGUCUUGACGGUACCUAAUCAGAAAGCCACGGCUAACUACGUG
rnacentral:rRNA from 1 species